UAGUCUUAAUCUUAAUUCUCUGUUGCUUGGUUGUUCUUUUCUUCAAUCAUCACAGUAUUGCAGUUGCAGUGUAUAUAUUGACAAGUAAUUAGGUCAUGAGUCUGUUCGAUAGGAAAUUCUUUGAAUUGAAGUCUUUUUUUUUUGUUUCUUUGCCCACAAAAUCUUGCAAUGAAGUUAGUAAAGAAAUAUAAAGACUGCUAGGUUGUUCUUAUUUCAUCUCUGAAUAAUGAUCAUUAUUUAUUUCAACACAGUUGAAUUUAAUUUUCUUUCAUCAAUAAAACAUUUUUUUUCUUUUGUCAUACCAUAACGUUAUAUGCCAUAAAUAAUUAUAUUUUACCUGAUUUAGCAUAUUGAUUAUUUAGUUAUAUUAUAGAGACUUUUAUUUUAUUUCUGUUAUGAGGGAUUUAAAUGUUUAGUAUACUAAUGGUUGUAUGUCAUUUAAGUUCUUAUUGCUGACAACAGAUUAUGUAUACAUGUAUUAAUUAUUCUAAUGAGGAAUGAAAUUCAAAUUGUAUUAUAUACAAAUGUUACUGGUACAAAUAAAAUCACAGAAUCUUGCCUC
rnacentral:sRNA from 1 species